AUUGCGAUCUUUAUCAUGUGACAACUUUGAUGAUGUGAUCCAUUCGUGGGAAAGUCGUGGAACUUAAGUUGUUUAGAAAGGGCGUUAGGCAAACAUGAAGCAUUGUUUUUAUUAAAAACUGAAAAUCAUUCUGUUAUAGCGGGAGCGCGGAAUUUCCUGUCGUUGAAAUAUAUAUGGAAACGGACUGUGGCUAUGUAAACUGGAAACAUGACAGACAGGAAAUAAAAGAACGCGUUAGGUAUAAGAAAAUCACUUUACUAUUAAAACGAUAUCUUUCUCCUUUUUCGAUUUCUCUAAAACUGAAAGAAACGUUACCGAAUUUAUGGCAAAAGAUGACCUUUUCCCAACUACAUCAAAGUCAUGAAUACACGGAAUCAUUUCUCGAUACAAAAGGAAAUGUCAUUCUAAGCAGAAGGAACGAAACUGCUAGCUUUAAAUCUCAUUUUCAACAACUGAUUAUGAUAUAGGAAAGAUUUCUAAGAGCCUUGACAGACAUGUUGCGACUUAACUGAAAGAAUUUGAGCCUUGUAAGAUAUUAUAUAAAAGCUCUUACAUUUUUUUAAGUAAAUUAUUUUAAAUGGAUAUUCUGUAGAAUAAUGCCUGCACAAAAAUGGCCUGAAUAUUUUGGCAUGCUUUUUUGAAUAAAUAAAGCCAGCACUCCACACAAUGAAAAGAGCUCUCAAACAGGCCGAAAAGUUUGGAAAAGACGAAAAGACGGAAAUUCAGAUAUUCAAUAUAAAAUAUUCUGUAUUGAAAUCAACGAGCAUAGAGAGAUUAUCCUGUCUCAAUAAAAAAACACGUAAAAAAAAUAUUUUAUCUGUCACAAGUGCAAUAAUAGCUGGGUUUUUUUUCGCAUGAAGACAUAGCUCUUUCAACAAGAUUGAAAUUAAAGAUUUGCAUGACACAAAAUAUAACUAUGAUGGGUUUCGCACCAAAAGAAUCGACAAAAAACGAUUAACAUGUUGAAAUAUGAAAGGUAUUUUGAAACGACAGUAAUCGUCGUGAACUACAAAGGAUCGAAAAACGCGACGUACUCAAUUCCCAUAAAUGCCAUACAUAAACAGAUGAAGCUUUGGAUUGUCUUGUGGUCUUAAUUUGGUAGUGGAAUUUCAAUUUUGAUUGUUUUUCAAGAAAUGUAUGUUUUCAUAACUGAA